UACGGGGGAUGCGAGCGUUAUCCGGAUUUAUUGGGUUAAAGGGUGCGUAGGCGGAUUUUUAAGUCAGCGGUAAAAUGUCCGGGCUCAACCCGGGCCGGCCGUUGAAACUGGGGAUCUUGAGUGGGCGAGAAGUAUGCGGAAUGCGUGGUGUAGCGGUGAAAUGCAUAGAUAUCACGCAGAACUCCGAUUGCGAAGGCAGCAUACCGGCGCCCGACUGACGCUGAGGCACGAAAGCGUGGGGAUCGAACAGG
rnacentral:rRNA from 1 species